GGGCGGAUGGUUUAGUGGUAUAAUUUUCCCUUAGCAUUUCCUGUUCAAAAUAAUUUGGCGGUUGAGCUUCUCACUGGGAAAGGUCCGGGGUUCGAUUCCCCGUUCGUCCA
rnacentral:tRNA from 1 species